AUUGUCGUUUGUGAUUGUAUGCUUGGUGUUUGAGUAAAUUAAAUUGAAAAUUAGUGUAGAUUUAGGGUUUUCAAAAUCUUGUUUUGUCUUUGUCGUCUGUAAAAAAAUCUGAUGAAGUUGUAAUUAAAAUAAUGUUUCUUCUUUGAUGAAACUGACAUUUGUUAAGUUGUUAAAGGCUAAUGGUUUGCUAUCUGCAUACACUGUAAUCAAGUCAAUGGUUUAUUG
rnacentral:lncRNA from 1 species